rnacentral:rRNA from 1 species
CCUACGGGAGGCAGCAGUGGGGAAUGUUGGACAAUGGGCGCAAGCCUGAUCCAGCCACGCCGCGUGAGAGAUGAAGGCCUUCGGGUCGUAAAGCCUCUGUGGGGAGGGACGAACCGCUGGAGGUUAAUAGCUUCCAGCAUGACGGUACCUCCUUAGCAAGCACCGGCUAACUUCGUGCCAGCAGCCGCGGUAAUACGAAGGGUGCAAACGUUGCUCGGAAUUAUUGGGCGUAAAGCGCACGUAGGCGGCUUAGUAAGUCGGAAGUGAAAGCCCUCGGCUCAACCAAGGAAGUGCUUUCGAAACUGCUGAGCUUGAGUACUGAAGAGAUCGCGGAAUNCCCGUGUAGAGGUGAAUUCGUAGAUAUCGGAGGAACNCCAGUGGGAAGGCGGCGAUCUGGGCAGUUACUGACGCUGAGUGCGAAAGCGUGGGAGCAACAGGAUUAGAUACCCUGGUAGUCCACGCCGUAAACGAUGAGUGCUAGGUGCUAUGGGUAUUGACCCCCGUGGUGCGUAGCUAACGCGUUAAGCACUCCGCCUGGGGAGUACG